UUGAAAAAUAGAAUUAUAAAGAGUAUUAAUUCUUCCUUUAAUUUUUUUUUUAUAAAGAUAUUAUUUUUUUCAAACCGUUUUCUUUUAAAAAAAAUUUAGACGGAAGAGAACAUCCCUGCAAAUGAUUGCAGCGAUCUAUACGUGAUAUUAUCUACACAAUCUGAUUCAAGUAUUUUGUUGAAUACAAAUUACAAUAUAUUAGCAUGCUACGUUGAGGAUGAAUCUCUUAAUCUAGAAGUAUGUAAAAGUUAGUUCAAUCUAGCUGGUCUCACCUCACUUUAAAAAAAAAAAAAAAAAUUCAUUAUAGAUAAUUAUUAAUUUAUCAACUGAUUAAUUAUGAUACAAAUUUAUUUUGUUAUCUUGAUUAUGGAGUAAUUAAACUUUAAUUUAAAAAAAAUUUCCUGGUAGCACUAAAUGGUCUAGAGUGCCACCCCUUUUUCAUCGUCAAUUACUAAUACUCUGGUUGAUCAAUGCAAUAUAAAUGUUAUGUUUAUUCGAUACAUGUGUUGUCGCAGAAACCCUGUUAUCAAAUAACAUGACAAAUUUGAUUGCAAAGAUCAAACAUAAUAUUUGUAUUUAAUGAUUAAUAUUUCAUAAUAAAUAUUUUGAAUACAUUUUUUAUUUUGUUUCAGGCGUUAUUUGAAAACUCUGAUUUGCAUGGUUCGGAGAACGUGUUCCCGUUGGAGGAAGUAACAACAACCGUAUCUCAACAAACAUUGUUGACGGCAGAUACAAAAAUAAAAAAUGAUUCUGAGGAUCCGGAGUUACAAGAACUUAUGUCUCAGUUAAGAAUAAAAUAUUUUGGAGAUCUCUUGAACACCAACUGUUUCCCCAGCAAUCCUAUUAGAGAUGAAAACAGCCAGUAUAUCGUUUUUCAACCGGCAAACUCUAAUUGUCGUAUAGGAAAAUGAGAUUGGUGUCUUUGUGACAACUGUCCAAUAAUGAAAACAAACAUCGAAUCUACAUGUUGCAGAGAGGUAGAAAAUGCACAAGAAUUUAUUGAGGAAUCGGGUUGCAUCACUACACAUGAAUUCUUUUCUAUUUUCUGCCAAAGAGAAGAUACCGUUAGUGUGGUGUUUCGCACGGUUGGGCAACAACAAGCACCACCACCUGCCAAAGACAUGAACAGACAACGCAGAAAGACUGCAUAUCGGACUUUUACUGCAUGGGUGCAUGGAUAUCUUGGGAAGGGUAAUCGACGACCCAUCCCGGCAUGUGUGGUGCAUAAAGUACGGCAAGCCUUUGCUGACACGGAUGAGGAAUACACUGGUUUCAAGCAUGCACCUGAUAUUCCAGCUGAAUUUAUGGCCUAUGAAUAAGCUCUUGUUAUUGAAAAAAUGAAUAAAUCAGUUUUUGUUGCCAGGGGUAGAAAUAACUACUAUUUUAUAUUAAUGGUAUAUUAAUAGAAUAGGUAAUCUAUACUAAAAGUACAGGCACCCGCUUAAAGCAACUAUAGUAUUAAUAUUUUGUUGUUUAUGUUUUCAAUUUCAAAUUAAAAUUCAUGAUAUUUAAAAAAAAAAAUUGAAGUUGAAUCUCAUUACUGGUUAAUAUAUAUAAUAUAUAAAUGCUUUAAAAAGUGUAAUG